CGUAUUUUAAAGUUGUUGCGGUCAAAAAGCUCGUAGUUGGAUUUCGGUGAGUAAGGAGGGGUUCAUCUUGUUUGAUGUAACUGCUGUCUUGUCUCGCGUUUAUUUCGGCAGAGGUUUCGAAGGUGCCUUUAACAGGGUGUCUCGGGAUACUGUCGGGUUUACUUUGAAAAAAUUAGAGUGCUCAAAGCAGGCUUUUAAAAGCUUGAAUAUUAGUGCAUGGAAUAAUGAAAUAGGAAGUCGUUUCUAUUUUGUUGGUUUUCAGAAAUCGACUUAAUGAUUAAUAGGGACAGUCGGGGGCAUUAGUAUUCAGACGACAGAGGUGAAAUUCUUGGACCGUCUGAAGACUAACUACUGCGAAAGCAUUUGCCAAGAAUGUUUUCAUUAAUCAAGAACGAAAGUUAGAGGUUCGAAGGCGAUCAGAUACCGCCCUAGUUCUAACCAUAAACGAUGCCAGCUAGCGAUCCGCAGUUGUUUAUUUUUACGACUCUGCGGGAAGCUUCCGGGAAACCAAAGCUUUUGGGUUCCGGGGGAAGUAUGGUUGCAAAGCUGAAACUUAAAGGAAUUGACGGAAGGGCACCACCAGGAGUGGAGCCUGCGGCUUAAUUUGACUCAACACGGGAAAUCUCACCAGGCCCGGACACUGGAAGGAUUGACAGAUUGAGAGCUCUUUCUCGAUUCGGUGGGUGGUGGUGCAUGGCCGUUCUUAGUUGGUGGAGUGAUUUGUCUGGUUAAUUCCGAUAACGAACGAGACUCUGUCCUGCUAAAUAGUUUCAAUGUCAUUUUUUUUGCAUUGAAAAUUCUUCUUAGAGGGACUGGCGGCGUCUAGCCGCACGAGAUUGAGCAAUAACAGGUCUGUGAUGCCCUUAGAUGUUCUGGGCUGCACGCGCGCUACACUGAAGGGAUCAGCGUGUCUUCCCUGACCGAGAGGUUCGGGUAACCCGUUGAACCCCCUUCGUGGUAGGGAUCGGGGCUUGCAAUUAUUCCCCGUGAACCAGGAAUUCCCAGUAAGCGUAAGUCAUAAGCUUACGUUGAUUACGUCCCUGCCCUUUGUACACACCGCCCGUCGCUACUACCGAUUGAACGUUUUAGUG
rnacentral:rRNA from 1 species